GAAGAACAACCGGAUUAUGAAGAACAAUCGUAUGAUGAAGAACCUGAAAGAGCAAAAAGAAAUUUUGACAUUUCUUUUUUAUUAUUGAAAAAUAAUAAACGAGGACAAAAAUAAAUCGCAGCAUCAAUUCUGACAAAAAUAGUAAUUCAUACAGUCAAGAGAAUAUAAACGUGUUAACAUAGAAAUGUAUUGGGAAUAAAUU